rnacentral:rRNA from 1 species
CUAUGCGCCUUGCCAGCCCGCUCAGGUGUGCCAGCCGCCGCGGUAAUACAGAGGUCUCAAGCGUUGUUCGGAAUCACUGGGCGUAAAGCGUGCGUAGGCGGUUUCGUAAGUUGUGUGUGAAGGGCGGGGGCUCAACCCCCGGACUGCACAUGAUACUGCGAGACUAGAGUAAUGGAGGGGGAACCGGAAUUCUCGGUGUAGCAGUGAAAUGCGUAGAUAUCGAGAGGAACACUCGUGGCGAAGGCGGGUUCCUGGACAUUAACUGACGCUGAGGCACGAAGGCCAGGGAGCGAAAGGG